GAACCUAAGUUUGGUUUGACAUUUAUAUUUCAUUUAUUAAAUACAAGUUAGCAAAUGUUUCUGUCCUUCCAAGAUUAUACUUAGCUGUUGUAGUAAUUUAGUUUAUGCUGUAGUAUAUUUAAUUCAUUAAAGUGAUUUACUUGUGCUAAAGUUGUUGUGCUUUAGAUUCUUGUUAGUUAUUGUAGUACCUCCUUGCCGGAGUGUGAGUUAUUAAUUUAUGAGCUGCGUAUGGUGCCUAUGAAUGGCCUGUUAUGGCAUUAUUGGUUGUUGUUGAUGUAGUUGUGGUAUUUGUGACAAGGAUAAUUUUUUUGGAUAGACCAAUUUACAAGAGAAACUCUGCCGAAAUUUUUGAAAAUUUAGGGAGUUAGCCAAAUUUUUGAGUCCCUUGGGAGAGUGGGUAGUGCUAAGAAAAUUUAAGAGGUUCAAGGACCUAAAGAAUGAUUGUUAGCUUAAGAAUAAGGCCUUAGCAACAUUCGAGGACGAAUGUUUUUAAGGAGGGAAGAUUGUAACACUCCCCAAAUUUAUAAAAGUUUCGAGACACGCUAACUAUAGAACUAAUUUAUUACUAUUUUUAUUAUUUUAUCUUGCCUAUAUAUAACUGGAUAUACAAUUAGGAAAAUAUCAGUUGUUUUAAUAUUAUUAAUUUUCAAAAAAAAAGGUAUCAUUAGUUAGUAGUAAUUUAAAAAAAAUGGAAAAAGGCUUAAAAGCCCAUAAAGAGGGCUGUUUGAAACAAUAGCCCCCAAGCCUUAAAAGAGAGGCAGAACGUUAUCAAAAAGGACGGAAAGCAAAAGCUAAAAAAAAGAAAAGAAUCGUUCCUCACGAAACAGAGGCUCCAUUUAUCACACAGGCAACGGAAAAAUCUAGGAUUUCUUACAAAUCACUAAUUCUUGAACUCAGAAUCGAUUGUUUGACUGGUGUCAAUUGAACUGGGGUUACGUAUUGGCUCGAGAAGUUUUGAGGAACCGAAUUUGUAGGCGAGCAGGCUACGAGUUAGGACUUCCUUCUCUUCCAGUGAUAUUGGUGAGCUUCGCUUUUGUUCGUGGAGUAUUCUUAGAGUCAUCUUCAUUUAGCUAUUUCUUUGUUUAUUUAGAGAACUAGCUAGGAAAUCUCAUGUCCUGAGCAGUGCGUCAGUUUAUCAGUAGAGGCUUCAUGGACAUAGUCAUUGGGUUGAGAUUCAGAUGUUAUUUUAUAAUAACUUAGCAGUAAUUCAAUAGUUACUACGAAUAAAGCUUUGGAGUUGAUUUAUUUAAAUAUUUGAAUUAAUCAAAAGUAUUUGUUUAGAGUAUUGCUUUGUUGCUUAUAAAGUUUGGAGUUAUAAUAGGGUUUAUAAGCAGAGAUGGUUCGCUCGGUCAUGUUUAGUGAUCGAGUGCCGGUCUCGGCUUGUUCAGAAAAUGGGUCGUGACAGGACAGGUGUCAAAUGAUGAGUAGGUUUGUUAGGAAUUCCAGAUUGUCGUCCUUUUAGCUCUAUAUUAGUCCUUUUGCAUUGUAUUCAGAGCCUAUCUAUGACUGAAAAUUUGCUUUCUUUAAUUUUUUAUUUUAUUUUA